GGUUAAGUGACUAAGCGUACACGGUGGAUGCCUUGGCAGUCAGAGGCGAUGAAAGACGUAGUAACUUGCGAUAAGCCCAGAUUAGGUAGUAACAACCAUUUGAGUCUGGGAUUUCUGAAUGGGGAAACCCACGUGCAUAAGCACGUAUCCUUACCUGAAUACAUAGGGUAAGGAGGCGAACCGGGGAACUGAAACAUCUAAGUACCCCGAGGAAAAGAAAUCAACCGAGAUUCCGAAAGUAGCGGCGAGCGAAAUUGGACUAGCCCUUAAGCUUUACACGCGUUAGACGAACGGUCUGGAAAGUCCGACGAUACAGGGUGAUAGUCCCGUAGUUGACGACGUGUGUUCAGUGAAAUCGAGUAGGGCGGGACACGUGAUAUCCUGUCUGAAUAUGGGGGACCAUCCUCCAAGGCUAAAUACUACUGACUGACCGAUAGUGAACCAGUACCGUGAGGGAAAGGCGAAAAGAACCCCUGUGAGGGGAGUGAAAUAGAACCUGAAACCGUGUACGUACAAGCAGUAGGAGCACCUUCGUGGUGUGACUGCGUACCUUUUGUAUAAUGGGUCAGCGACUUAUAUUCAGUGGCAAGGUUAACCAUCUAGGGGAGCCGUAGGGAAACCGAGUCUUAACUGGGCGUUCAGUCUCUGGAUAUAGACCCGAAACCAGGUGAUCUAGCCAUGGGCAGGUUGAAGGUUGAGUAACAUCAACUGGAGGACCGAACCGACUAAUGUUGAAAAAUUAGCGGAUGACUUGUGGCUAGGGGUGAAAGGCCAAUCAAACCUGGAGAUAGCUGGUUCUCCCCGAAAGCUAUUUAGGUAGCGCCUCGGACGAAUACUACUGGGGGUAGAGCACUGUUAAGGCUAGGGGUCAUCCCGACUUACCAACCCUUUGCAAACUCCGAAUACCAGUAAGUACUAUCCGGGAGACACACGGCGGGUGCUAACGUCCGUCGUGGAGAGGGAAACAACCCAGACCGCCAGCUAAGGUCCCAAAUUACUACUAAGUGGGAAACGAUGUGGGAAGGCUCAGACAGCCAGGAUGUUGGCUUAGAAGCAGCCAUCAUUUAAAGAAAGCGUAAUAGCUCACUGGUCGAGUCGGCCUGCGCGGAAGAUGUAACGGGGCUAAGUAGUAAACCGAAGCUGCGGCAAUGUGCUUUUGCACAUUGGGUAGGGAGCGUUCUGUAAGCGGUUGAAGGUGUGUGGUAACGCAUGCUGGACGUAUCAGAAGUGCGAAUGCUGACAUGAGUAACGAUAAAGGGGUGAAAAACCUCCUCGCCGGAAGACCAAGGGUUCCUGUCCAACGUUAAUCGGGGCAGGGUAAGUCGACCCCUAAGGCGAGGCCGAAAGGCGUAGUCGAUGGGAAACGGGUUAAUAUUCCCGUACUUCUUACAAUUGCGAUGGGGGGACGGAGAAGGCUAGGUGGGCCUGGCGACGGUUGUCCAGGUUCAAGUGCGUAGGCUUAAGAGUUAGGUAAAUCCGGCUCUUUCUAAGGCUGAGACACGACGUCGAGCUACUACGGUAGUGAAGUCAUUGAUGCCAUGCUUCCAGGAAAAGCCUCUAAGCUUCAGAUUGUAAGGAAUCGUACCCCAAACCGACACAGGUGGUCGGGUAGAGAAUACCAAGGCGCUUGAGAGAACUCGGGUGAAGGAACUAGGCAAAAUGGUACCGUAACUUCGGGAGAAGGUACGCUCUUGAUGGUGAAGUCCCUUGCGGAUGGAGCUGACGAGAGUCGCAGAUACCAGGUGGCUGCAACUGUUUAUUAAAAACACAGCACUGUGCAAAAUCGUAAGAUGACGUAUACGGUGUGACGCCUGCCCGGUGCCGGAAGGUUAAUUGAUGGGGUUAGACUUCGGUCGAAGCUCUUGAUCGAAGCCCCGGUAAACGGCGGCCGUAACUAUAACGGUCCUAAGGUAGCGAAAUUCCUUGUCGGGUAAGUUCCGACCUGCACGAAUGGCGUAAUGAUGGCCACGCUGUCUCCACCCGAGACUCAGUGAAAUUGAAAUCGCUGUGAAGAUGCAGUGUACCCGCGGCUAGACGGAAAGACCCCGUGAACCUUUACUACAGCUUGGCACUGAACAUUGACCCUACAUGUGUAGGAUAGGUGGGAGGCUUUGAAGCACGUACGCCAGUAUGUGUGGAGCCGUCCUUGAAAUACCACCCUUGUAGUGUUGAUGUUCUAACGUCGACCCCUAAUCGGGGUUGCGGACAGUGCCUGGUGGGUAGUUUGACUGGGGCGGUCUCCUCCCAAAGAGUAACGGAGGAGCACGAAGGUGGGCUAAUCACGGUUGGACAUCGUGAGGUUAGUGCAAUGGCAUAAGCCCGCUUGACUGCGAGAAUGACAAUUCGAGCAGGUGCGAAAGCAGGUCAUAGUGAUCCGGUGGUUCUGAAUGGAAGGGCCAUCGCUCAACGGAUAAAAGGUACUCCGGGGAUAACAGGCUGAUACCGCCCAAGAGUUCAUAUCGACGGCGGUGUUUGGCACCUCGAUGUCGGCUCAUCACAUCCUGGGGCUGAAGUCGGUCCCAAGGGUAUGGCUGUUCGCCAUUUAAAGUGGUACGCGAGCUGGGUUUAGAACGUCGUGAGACAGUUCGGUCCCUAUCUGCCGUGGGCGUUGGAAGAUUGAAGGGGGCUGCUCCUAGUACGAGAGGACCGGAGUGGACGAACCUCUGGUGUUCGGGUUGUGUCGCCAGACGCAUUGCCCGGUAGCUAAGUUCGGAAUCGAUAACCGCUGAAAGCAUCUAAGCGGGAAGCGAGGCCCUGAGAUGAGUCUUCCCUGAUACUUUAAGUAUCCUAAAGGGUUGUCGGAGACUACGACGUUGAUAGGUCAGGUGUGUAAGUGCUGUGAGGCAUUGAGCUAACUGAUACUAAUUGCCCGUGAGGCUUAACCAU
rnacentral:rRNA from 1 species